rnacentral:lncRNA from 1 species
AAUAUUUUAAUUUUUAAUUUUUAGUUUAUAUGCAUGUCUUAGAUCUGGACACAGGUAGUGUUACAUUUGAUCUAGUGCAUGAGGGGUUAAAGGGGUUUAACCUAGAUCUGCUUCCACUAUUUCAAAUUAUUUUGAAAUCUAUGCAUUCAAUCCUACUCAUUUUCUAAGUGCAUCUUUCUUUCAUGAUCAGAUUUUUCAACCGUCCACAUGCCUAGGUCAGGAACCAUGAUGGGAGAUCCCACUGUGAUCCAUGCCCCAUCGGUGGUGGCAGGCCCUUGGGUCUAGGGUGUGCGCAUCAUA